CGCGAUAACAACCAACACUAACCUACUCCCCCGCCCCCCGCUGAGCGAUGCCGUCUUGAUCGCCCCCUCCCAACCCCGGGAAAAGGGACACUACCUCUCUAUCUCAGUUGAAGAAACGAUGAUGAAACGUUAACAACGACAAGAACGAGAUUUCCUAACGAGUUGUCUUAUGGCCUCCGAGAUUUGCGCGCGAAGCUGGCGCGCGCGAACCUGGGAGGCCAUAAUUGGCCGCUUAAUAGCAUAAAAAGACAAAAAGAUAAUGCCAAACGACACAGUUAAAAAUUCAAACAACGUACUGAUCUUAGCUAUACUGUUUGGGGAAAAGAAAUAAAAAAUUAGACAGCCGUAACACACGCCACUAAAGCCACCAUCGCCGGCAUAACGCGGAACCAACAGUUGGCAACAUUGCUUCGUCCGCUUCGUCUCCGCAACGAGAGCCGCUGAGAGCCGCCAUCCUUUCGCGCCGGCCGUUUUGUCAUAGUUCUGUUUUUCUGCAAGUCCGUGCACGCAGCUCAUCGGUAGAUGCACGGCUGCACGGCGUCGCAUUGCGACCUGCGGCAUUUUCUCGUGUUCGCGCAAUCGGUGUGAAACAUGUCGCAUGUGAAAUAUUUGAUAGAAGUGCAUCACGUCCAAGUCAAGCCGCCGUACGAGUGUAUGGCUGUGUGCCCCGUUCUCGGAAGCGUCGACGGGUUUCCGGCAUGCGGAUUUCAGCGUGUGGACUCGACUUGACUUUUGGUGAGGAUGUCGAUCGACCUUGGGCCUGGUGACAGCACACCCGACAUGGCCGAAGUGCAGCCUAUCAGUUGAGUGCCCCCGAAUGGACCAUCAGCAUCGGUGAAUGAAGCAGAUCCAGGGGUAAAAGGUUCCGGUAACACCAUGCAUUCAGUAUGGUGGCCCAGACGUGUAUGCAAGCAACCUCCUUCACGUGGCCCAAGAACUACUCUGCAGUGUCUCGCAGACUUCCAUGCGAAGCCCUCAACAUUCUCGUCUCAGUGGAAUGGCUGCUCAUCUAUCUGCGUGUCCAUCACCAAGACGGCCAGUUGUAAAGCUCCUGUACCUGUUUAAGAAAGCUUAAUGAUUUUUUAUUUAGUUUUCACGGUUGGCCGUAGAAUCUUACCAUUUUUGAUGUUUCUAACAUUUUUACCUGGCACAAAGUGGUGCAAUAACUUUAAACCAGUGUAAUGUAUUUAAGUGAUGCUCACUCUAAUGUCUAUCUGGUUUUUUAGUGUUUAAGAAAUUUCAAUGUCUGAUCAGGUAACAGCAUUUGAAUUUGUCAUCGUGGCUCGUUUCAAUGAGCUGCUAGGAAAUAAGACGCAAAACUUAUCACAUGCCAGUUGUAGCAU